rnacentral:misc_RNA from 1 species
GCAAACUUGGUCAUUUAGAGGAAGUAAAAGUCGUAACAAGGUCUCCGUUGGUGAACCAGCGGAGGGAUCAUUACAGAGUGUCAAAACUCACCAACCCACUGUUUAUUUACUUAAAUUUGUUCUUCCGGCAGGCGGUUCCAGGGCGGGACUGGGCCUUUGUGCACCUGCCGAAAGGCUACCAAAUGCUCUAUAAGUUACUGUCUGAAUUGCUGAAAAAUUGUCAAAAUUUUCAAUUGUGGAUCUCUUGGUUCUGGCAUCGAUGAAGAACGCAGC